ACCUGAUCUCAUGGGAAAUGAGCAAGCCUGCACAGCCAGCCACGUAAAAUGAUAUGUGAAGCAUAUGCAGUGCACAAGCUGACGAUAACAAAAAGACUGUACACUCUUCUGCUCCUCUCUAAAAUAAAGCUGCAUUUGCCACUGAUGGAAGAAUCACUUGGCAGAACUGAGAUGAAGUCACCAGAGUGAAGAAACCACAGUAUGAAUUCUUGUUGUGUGUUGUAGAAAGACAUGUACAGUGGGAAGAGAAGGAUGGACAAUUGCACAUUUCUUCUGAGUUGGUUCACCCUACCCAUGCACAGAAUUAAUCUCCCUUCUUGCUGUUGUUUGCACCUCAACACACACAAAUGUAUCAAACAGUAUUGCUACAGAAGCUGGCCCCCCACAGAAUAAGCAGAUCUCACAAGCAUCCACGUAAUCAUCACUCUCGAUAAAUGGAGAUCAUCAAGGGCAUUUCUCAUCCCUAGAACUACAAGAAGCAUUAACUCAGCUUUUCAUUUAUUUCAUGAGGUAGUAUGCACUCACAAAAAUAGAGCUGAUUUUCCUGACUAGUAAAAUCAUACCCUCCUGAAGGUCUGAGAAACAUGUGGUGUCUUUAGUCUGAUGCCUUCUCAAUCCCCUCACUCAUAGAAAGUGAAGGGAACAGGAAUUUUCAU
rnacentral:lncRNA from 1 species